UGAAAGAUUCAUCGGUGGCGGAUAGGCUCGCGGGACAUUAGCUAGACGGCGGGGCAACGGCCCACCGCGGCGACGAUGUCUAGGGGUUCUGAGAGGAAGACCCCCCACACUGGGACUGAGACACGGCCCAGACUCCUACGGGAGGCAGCAGUGAGGAAUAUUGGUCAAUGGGCGGAAGCCUGAACCAGCCAUGCCGCGUGAAGGACUAAGGCCCUACGGGUCGUAAACUUCUUUAGACGCAGAGCAAUAAGGUCCACGAGUGGACCGAUGAGAGUAUGCGUAGAAUAAGCAUCGGCUAACUCCGUGCCAGCAGCCGCGGUAAUACGGGGGAUGCGAGCGUUAUCCGGAUUCAUUGGGUUUAAAGGGUGCGUAGGCGGCCGAGUAAGUCAGCGGUGAAAGACCGGGGCUCAACCCUGGAAGUGCCGUUGAUACUGUUUGGCUGGAAUGAUCCCGCCGCGGGAGGAAUGAGUGGUGUAGCGGUGAAAUGCAUAGAUAUCACUCAGAACACCGACUGCGAAGGCAUCUCGCGAGGGGUCAAUUGACGCUGAGGCACGAAAGCGUGGGGAUCGAACAGGAUUAGAUACCCUGGUAGUCCACGCGGUAAACGAAGAUGGCUAACUGUCGGGCCUGCGGGUUCGGCGGC
rnacentral:rRNA from 1 species